rnacentral:rRNA from 1 species
AUGAACGCUGGCGGCGUGCUUAACACAUGCAGGUCGAACGGUGAAGGCGGAGCUUGCUCUGCUGGAUCAGUGGCGAACGGGUGAGUAACACGUGAGCAAUCUGCCCCUGACUCUGGGAUAAGCGCUGGAAACGGCGUCUAAUACUGGAUACGAGCUGCGAAGGCAUCUUCAGCAGCUGGAAAGAAUUUCGGUCAGGGAUGAGCUCGCGGCCUAUCAGCUUGUUGGUGAGGUAAUGGCUCACCAAGGCGUCGACGGGUAGCCGGCCUGAGAGGGUGACCGGCCACACUGGGACUGAGACACGGCCCAGACUCCUACGGGAGGCAGCAGUGGGGAAUAUUGCACAAUGGGCGAAAGCCUGAUGCAGCAACGCCGCGUGAGGGACGACGGCCUUCGGGUUGUAAACCUCUUUUAGCAGGGAAGAAGCGAAAGUGACGGUACCUGCAGAAAAAGCGCCGGCUAACUACGUG